CACAGUAUUUAUCCCGCGGCGUCUCGCUCCCCUCCGCCUUCUCUUCCCGGUUCUUCCCGGAGUCGGGAAAAGCUGGGUUGAGAGGGCGAAAAAAGAAGAGGGGAAGGGUCUAGGGGAAGGAGUGGAGAUCCUUCAAAGAUGGAAAACAGUGUGUGACUUCUUGGGAUUUCCUUGUUCACUCAUAAUUCCCUGGAGAUGAUCCAAGCUGUUGCAUGUAUCAUGCAUGUAUAUAACUACUUCAUUCCUUUAUAUUGCUGAAUUUCCAUGGUUUGUCUAUCUCCAUCCUUCGAAGAACAUCUGGGUUGUUUUCAGUUAGGGGCCAUCAUGAAUAAAGCUGCUAUGCACAUA